rnacentral:rRNA from 1 species
UACAGAGGUCUCAAGCGUUGUUCGGAUUCAUUGGGCGUAAAGGGUGCGUAGGUGGCGCUGUAAGUCAGGUGUGAAAUUUCGGAGCUUAACUCCGAAACUGCAUUGAUACUGCGGUGCUUGAGGACUGGAGAGGAGACUGGAAUUUACGGUGUAGCAGUGAAAUGCGUAGAGAUCGUAAGGAAGACCGUGGCGAAGGCGGGUCUCUGGACAGUUCCUGACGCUGAGGCACGAAGGUCAGGGGAGCAAACGGG